rnacentral:tRNA from 1 species
GAACUUAUAGUCAAAUUAUUGACAUCUAACUUGCACUUAGAAAGUGUCCUAAUCAGGACUAAGCUCA